GUAGGUGGCAAGCGUUGUCCGGAAUUAUUGGGCGUAAAGCGCGCGCAGGUGGCUCUUUAAGUCUGAUGUGAAAGCCCCCGGCUCAACCGGGGAGGGUCAUUGGAAACUGGGGAACUUGAGUGCAGGAGAGGAAAGUGGAAUUCCACGUGUAGCGGUGAAAUGCGUAGAUAUGUGGAGGAACACCAGUGGCGAAGGCGACUUUCUGGCCUGUGACUGACACUGAGGCGCGAAAGCGUGGGGAGCAAACAGGGAUUAGAUACCCUGGUAGUCCACGCCGUAAACGAUGAGUGCUAAGUGUUGGGGGGGUUUCCGCCCCCUCAGUGCUGCAGCUAACGCAUUAAGCACUCCGCCUGGGAGUACGGUCGCAAGACUG
rnacentral:rRNA from 1 species